CGGUCCAUCUGACGAUCCAUCUGACGAUCCAUCUGACGAUCCAUCUGACGAUCCAUCUGAGUGCGUCUUUGAUGAAGAAGAAGAAGACAGUGAGGAGAUGGAGGAUGACUGUGACUGUGUCUGCUGUGAUUGAGGGAAUGCUGAAGCAGCUCCAGCAGCAGCUGGAGGACCAGGCGCUGGAUGAUGACAUCACACUGAGCUGGAUGAUGACAUCAUGCCUCAGCGUCCUCGUGUGAUGUGUGAGAAUUCUGCCCUACAAAGCCUCGAACUGCACCAACUACAGUUUGGCUCUAAAUUGAGUUUUAACCAAAAAUUAACUCCUUUGUGUCUGUUUUAUCUUGUGACAACGUUUUAGAUUUCAAUUUUGCUUUAUGUCAGAUAAAUAAUGACUCUAGUAAUAAAAAAAACCUCCAAAAUCCAACUCAAAACCAAAGCAGACUGCAGUAAGUGUCGUCUUGUAUUUCUUCAUUGUGUUGAACAGUGAAGACAAGAAUAAUAGAAAUUAUACGUUUAUUUAAUAGGGAAAUUAUUAUCUAGAUAGUGAUGAAGUAAAAAAGUGAGAUACAAUUAUAUUAAGACUAAAAUAUAACAUUAGUUUAUAAUAUUAAGUCUAAAAUAAAAACAUUUUGAACAAAGUUGAUAAACACUUUUAAAUUCACUUCUAACAAAAUCAAUUUGAAAAUGUUUAUUCACUGAAAACUAAAUAUAAAAGGUGAAAGAAGACAACAACAUUAUAGUUACACUGUAAAAAAAUAUGUUUAAUUCACGGUAAAAUUCUUCUUCACCAUAAAAAAUACAGUGAGCGUAUGUAAAUGUAGAUAUCAGCAAAAACUGUAAUUUUUGAUGAAUAAUCCCAUUACUUUUAGGAUAAUUAAUUGUGUCAUUGUGGUAUUUCUCCAUUAACUUUACAUGACAAUUUUAUAUUUUUACAGCAAAACUGUGUUUUCUACAGUUUAUGGCAGUAGAAUUUAAAGUUUUAUACUAUUCUUUGAUUUACAGUAAUUAAAAGUAUCUACUAAUGUGAUGUACAAUGUUUAAUUUUACGACCUAUUUCUGAUGCAAUUUGACAGUUUUACUGUAAUUUCUACAAGCAUUUUUUACAGUGUACUCCACUCUGUUUAUCAUCACUAUUAGGAUCUUUUACAGCAAAACCAGAGUGCAGUAGCUACAUUUUUAGUGUCAAAGGUCAAAUAACUCGUCAUGAUUUUUUUGCAUAAAAAUGACAUCAUCAAUACAUGUAGAAAUAAGAGUCAUAUCACUGACCUACAUAUAACACAUUUGGCUGGACAGUUAAAAAACUUUAAAAAACUUUAAAUCAGUUUUUCUCAGUUUAACCCUUUGUAACUAGGCUCUGUAGGGCAGAAUAGAGCUGCAACAAUUAGCAGAUUAAUCGACUCGUUGCAGCUGUUUUUAUAAUCAAAUCAUCAUUUUAGUCAUUUUACAAGCUCAAAUGUCAAAUAUCUGCUGGUUCCAGCUUCUCCUAUUGAAAGAUUUAAUGUUUUUAUUGGUCAUAUAUGGUCAUAAACUUAUAUUUACUUAUAUUUAAACAUAUUAAGACUGUUGGUUUAUUAAGUAUGAAUUUAUGUGUUUGGGCUGUGGGGAAUUAUAACAGACAAUGUUUUAUUAUUUUUCACAUUUUAUAGGUAAGAUAAUAUAAAAUAUAAAUUAGA